CCUUCAGGCAAAUUAAAUUGUUCUUCAGAAACCUAAUUACUGCUGAAUGUUAAUUAAUAAACGGCUGUGGGAAUAUAAAUGAGGGGUAUAAAAAAAAUGGAUAAAGACUUCCUGCCUAAUUGAAAUUCCACAUCAUCAGAAUCCGAGUGAAAGUGAAGAAGUCCUUCCUCACUGCGUGAGAUAAUUAUUUCUUCAGUACACGUAUAACAACGAACAACACACUUCCCCGUAUCAAAUAAUCCCCGUAAUACUUAUUCCAUUUACAGCCUGUGAAAAUAGCAACAAAAUACCGGCGUCUCAUUAUUUCCCACGGUAUGAAUAACAAUUCAAGUUUAUCCAUCAAAUUGACAUUCGGAAUAAUGAAAAUCUAAUUGUUGUAUUUAUCCCGCAUAAAUAAUAACAAUGAGAGUCAAAUGGACGAGUGAAACUGACAAAUAGGUUUUUGGAGAUUUUAUGUCGUGACUUGACCGAAUUUUCUCGAGGAAAAGAAGUGAAAGAAAAAAUAAAAAUCGAGAGGCGUCACAGCGAAUGUAGCCCAUCGUCCUAGACCUUGUUCGAGGGUGAAAGUAAGGCCAUAUCAAUCGUCCUCAAGUAUCUCUCUCUUCCCCAGAUGUUUAUGCACUGAAAAUUGAAGAAGAAAAAUUAAUAAGCGGACGGAAUUAUCGAGACGGCCUGUGGAAAAGGCACAGACUCCCUGAGGAAUUAAAUAGUUAUAUUCGUCAGUCGAAAGUUUCACUUGCUUCAAGAUCCGGUUGAUCCAGUUUUCAUUAUGAUUUUUUUUUGUCUUCCAACAAAAUUCUUCUGGUGAUUUUUUUCAACGACAAAUGUCAGGAUUAGAAUACUAGCUGGAGAAAUGUUCCUUUCAGGUGGAUGAACUUUCGUUGGUUAAAUUUUCAUGAAUUAUUCAGAAUUUUUUUUUAUUAGGUCAUCUUGGGGUUUAGUUCGGUGAUGAAAUACGAUUUAUGACUCUCUUUCUUUGGAAUUUGUUUAAAGUUUUAAAUUCGUGUGAUUUUUAUUUUUAAUACGAGUUUUUUAAAUGGGUUGACGUUUUGUGGUGUUUCACACGCGAAAAUUAGUGCAUCCAACUU